AACGAACGCUGGCGGCAUGCCUAACACAUGCAAGUCGAACGAGACCUUCGGGUCUAGUGGCGCACGGGUGCGUAACGCGUGGGAAUCUGCCCUUGGGUUCGGAAUAACAGUUAGAAAUGACUGCUAAUACCGGAUGAUGUCUUCGGACCAAAGAUUUAUCGCCCAAGGAUGAGCCCGCGUAAGAUUAGCUAGUUGGUGGGGUAAUGGCCCACCAAGGCGACGAUCUUUAGCUGGUCGAGAGGAUGAUCAGCCACACUGGGACUGAGACACGGCCCAGACUCCUACGGGAGGCAGCAGUGGGGAAUAUUGGACAAUGGGCGAAAGCCUGAUCCAGCAAUGCCGCGUGAGUGAUGAAGGCCUUAGGGUUGUAAAGCUCUUUUACCAGGGAUGAUAAUGACAGUACCUGGAGAAUAAGCUCCGGCUAACUCCGUGCCAGCCGCCGCGGUAAU
rnacentral:rRNA from 1 species